AGGGUUUGAUUAUGGCUCAGGACGAACGCUGGCGGCGUGCCUAACACAUGCAAGUCGAACGGAGUCGGCCCCGCAAGGGACUGACUUAGUGGCGAACGGGUGAGUAACGCGUGAGCAACCUGCCUUUCAGUGGGGGACAACAGUUGGAAACGACUGCUAAUACCGCAUGAAGCAUAAUGAUCGCAUGGUCGAUAUGCCAAAGAUUUAUUGCUGAAAGAUGGGCUCGCGUCUGAUUAGAUAGUUGGUGAGGUAACGGCCCACCAAGUCGACGAUCAGUAGCCGGACUGAGAGGUUGAACGGCCACAUUGGGACUGAGAUACGGCCCAG
rnacentral:rRNA from 1 species